AGAACCAAUUUGAGUCACUGCAUGUGUCUGUGGUCUCUGCAUGGACACCUCAGAGCUAGGAAUCACUUCUCGUGUUACGACAAGGAGUGGCGAAGAGACAGUGGAUCAACAGAUGCUUCAAUGCCAGAUCCCCAAAAGGGGCUGAUUUCGCGUGAUAGGGAAAUGAAGAGGAGAGGAGGACGACAGGGAGAGAAAGGAGGAAAAACUGCGAAGGAAGAACAAGCCGGAGCUCCGUCUGCCUUUCAGAAAUGACAUCUCUGCGGAAUUCAAUGCGGCCUAUUCUCAAGCAUCGGAGAAACUCUUUUCUUGCCUCCUCCUUCACCCCACCCCAACCAGAUUAGAAAAAAAAAAUUAAUGGUGUAUGAUGACAAACUUGGCUCAGCACUCACUGUACAUACUGUACCCACAAGUCUGGCUCGCAGCCAGGCCUGGCCUGGAGCCAGGACUACAAUAACAAACACAGGCAAUGCUCGCCAAGAGGGGGUGGGGCAGCACACAGAGCUAGCCAGGAAGUGAGAGCCGUUCGGCUCUGCUGAGCAGAAGAAAACAGCAGGAAUGUGCCAGUGCAAGGGCAGCAACAUUUAGGGGGGCAACCACAACCCCUACCCAGAUCCUGGACUCACUUCUCCACAGCCUGCGCCUUUUGAAAAAAAAUGCUCGCCUCCCCCCCGCCUCCCCCGCCCAGGGUUCUGGAGCAACUACUGUUCUUCCAGGCUGUGGGCUGCUUGAACCCUUGGUCAUCUGUAAAAUGGGUCUACUCUACAGACCUGGCACACCCAUUCUCACUGUCAGCUUUCUUCAUGGAACCUUCAAAAUA
rnacentral:lncRNA from 1 species